rnacentral:rRNA from 1 species
GACGGAGGGUGCUAGCGUUGUUCGGAAUCACUGGGCGUAAAGGGCGCGUAGGCGGCCUUGCAAGUCGGUUGGUGAAAGCCCGGGGCUCAACCCCGGAGGUGCGGCCGAGACUGCAGGGCUGGAGGCCGGAAGAGGAGGGUGGAAUACCCAGUGUAGAGGUGAAAUUCGUAGAUAUCGGGAGGAACACCUGUGGCGAAAGCGGCGCACUGGACCACAACUGACGCUGAGGCGCGAAAGCUAGGGGAGCAAACAGG